rnacentral:misc_RNA from 1 species
UUUUUGCGUUAGGGAUUGCAGCGGAAAGCCCACAGCGAGUGGAGCGAGUGCGGACUUGCAGCGGAAAGCCCGACCCGCA